CAACGCGACCCCAGGUCAGGCGGGGC
rnacentral:rRNA from 1 species